ACGACAGGGAUCAAAUGCCUCUGCCCCAAAGAAUGGACAGGCAGUAACUGCGAUGUUGACGUUGACGAGUGCGCAGUGAACACAGAUGUGUGCAACGGCCAUGGCAAAUGCCAGAACAGACAGCCCGGUUUCCAAUGCACGUGCGACCCCAGUUGGGAAGGGGACCGAUGCCAAUUUGAUCACGAUGAAUGUCUGGAUAAUUUACUGGGGCAGCUGUGCUUCAAUGGUGGCGUAUGCACGAACACUUACGGCUCGUACGUUUGCAGAUGUAGCCAGUUCUGGACAGGCAAGGAUUGCUUACAGG